rnacentral:rRNA from 1 species
UGGGGAAUAUUGCACAAUGGGCGCAAGCCUGAUGCAGCCAUGCCGCGUGUAUGAAGAAGGCCUUCGGGUUGUAAAGUACUUUCAGCGGGGAGGAAGGUGUUGUGGUUAAUAACCACAGCAAUUGACGUUACCCGCAGAAGAAGCACCGGCUAACUCCGUGCCAGCAGCCGCGGUAAUACGGAGGGUGCAAGCGUUAAUCGGAAUUACUGGGCGUAAAGCGCUCGCAGGCGGUCUGUCCAGUCGGAUGUGAAAUCCCCGGGCUCAACCUGGGAACUGCAUCCGAAACUGGCAGGCUUGAGUCUUGUAGAGGGGGGUAGAAUUCCAGGUGUAGCGGU